rnacentral:lncRNA from 1 species
CUUUGAAUGACUCCAGUAAAAUUAAGCAUCAAGUAAACAAGUGGAAAGUGACCUACACUUUUAACUUGUCUCACUAGUGCCUAAAUGUAGUAAAGGCUGCUUCAGUUUUGUAUGUAGUUGGGUUUUUUGGAGUCCGAAGGUAUCCAUCUGCAGAAAUUGAGGCCCAAAUUGAAUUUGGAUUCAAGUGGAUUCUAAAUACUUUGCUUAUCUUGAAGAGAGAAGCUUCAUAAGGAAUAAACAAGUUGAAUAGAGAAAACACUGAUUGAUAAUAGGCAUUUUCAUGGUCUUUUUAAUGUUUUCUGUUGUUAAACAUUUCAAGAUUUAUU